rnacentral:lncRNA from 1 species
UGAAAGGUCACUUGGUUCAUCCCCCAGAUCGCUUUGGGGAAAAAGAGGCUAGACAUCAGAAAAGCCUCCUUUGUAUGAGUUUCUGGGAGCUUAGAGGAGCAUCUCCAUGAAAGCACUCCAGACCAUGGGUGCUGGAUCCCUCCUUAAUCUCCAGCCUUCAAAUCCUGCCUGCCUCCCUGAAGGACACCGGCUGAACUUUAAACUGAGACUGGGUUUCAAAGCCAAACGUCCACAGAAGAAGGGUGGAUCAAGCUUCCUAGAACACUUGCACGUAAGCUUUGAACUGUCCUUUACAGUUUCGUUAGUCCCAUCAAGUCUUCCCAAUGAUUUCCACAUUUGCUCUUGGCU